CACUAAGAAGCUUUUAUAGCAUCAGCCUUUUAAGUUGAAGAAGAAAUAUAUUUCCUUAGUGA
rnacentral:tRNA from 1 species